rnacentral:rRNA from 1 species
UAGCGUAGGGGGCAAGCGUUGUCCGGAAUCAUUGGGCGUAAAGCGCGUGUAGGCGGUCCGGUUAGUCGGCUGUGAAAGUCAAGGGCUCAACCCUUGAAUGCCGGUCGAUACUGCCGGACUAGAGUCCGGAAGAGGCAAGUGGAAUUCCCGGUGUAGCGGUGAAAUGCGCAGAUAUCGGGAGGAACACCAAUGGCGAAGGCAGCUGCUGGGACGUGA